rnacentral:sRNA from 1 species
GUUGCCAGUCGGCGGCGGAUGUUGGGCGCUGUUUGUAGCCCUGUCGUCGCAGCGAUUUCGAGGACAGCCGACGAGGAGUCGUCUACCAUCUACCACCUACCGUCUGCCGUUCACCGUCGACAUUUUAAUUAAAUUAAAAAAUUCCCAGUUGCCUGCCGGUGUGUUGGCUGUCUCAAGAUUCGUCGUCCAUGCGCCGUCGUUUGGGCCAAGUUAAAGCCUGCCGAACAUUUCAAUUGCGACGGCUAUGGUGUCGGCCGUAAUUAAAUCAGCGCUACAUGGGCACAUGGUCGGUCAAACUUGCCGGACGAAGCCAUUGAGCAGUGAUUUCAAAGGAAAUCAAAUACACAAUCCACCAGCUGAAUCUGGAUGGGGUUGACCAACAAAGCCAAGGGAGGCCAACAAAACAACAAACCGAAACUGUCGCCGUAAUCGAAGACGGGCAAGACUCUAAUGAAAAUCAAUAAUUCAAGCAAACAAUGGCCGAUGGCGGCUUUAAAAGCCACUUUCAUGCCGGUUCGGGCCAUAAAUAAAGCAAACUAUGAGGCAAUGAGGCGCCUUAUGUUACUUAAGCUCUGCAGCUGUCGGCCUUUAUUCUUUGUUGUUGCCACAGCCGCUGCUGCUGCCGUUGUUCUUCUGGCCAGCAUUUCUUUGUGGCUGCCGUGGAUACACUAAGCCAAUAGUUUUUGAGCUGGAAAUCAAUUAAUCGUAUAUUAAUUGAUUUGAAGCAAUUAAAUCACUAUAUUAUGUCUUAAA